GGGGAGUAGUUGGAGGCCAGGGCUGGCUCCCUAAGGGAAAGUGACUCCUCUUUGGCACAGGUGCUCACGCGGGGGCGGGGAGAAAGGCAGCGAGGCGCAGCUGGGGUAGUGCAGCCGCAAGGAGCGCAGACUUCGCUGCCAGGCUGCCUCUGUCCCAAAUGGGGAGUGCGUGUGUGUGUGUGUGUGUGUGUGUGUGUGUGUGUUAACCAAGUUACUGCAAGGAUCCUAGAAGAUAUGUGGGUGCUAACGUUAUCAUUCCCAUUCGACAGACGGAGAAGCUGAGGCACACUCGGGGUAUGUGGGUCACUUUUGCCACCUCCUUCUAAGACCUCUGCAGAGUGCAUCCUGUUCAUUGCCCCCAUUUUGAAGAGGCAGAAACUGAGGCAUCUGAGCAGGGGCUGAGAGAGGCCGCCCCCGGCAGGGCUCCAAAGUCCACGCCCCAGGGCCUUGGUAAGUCACCCCUGGGGGUCCUGCUCCAGCUCCCCGGCAGGGGGGGAUUUGAAAGCAGGCACACCUAGGCUCUGAGCUGAGACAUCCUGGCCAGGUCUGGGCAUCUCCAGGGACGGACCCUGCAGCAGCCAGCCCGGGACGCCAGCACCCGCCAGGCCUCCCUGCUUCCUGCCCAGCCUGGAGGUGAACGUGACCUCCCCCAGCUGAUUGCUUCUCCCCAGGGCAUCUUCUUCCUGUCGUUCUAGUGUCCCAUCUCCCUGGCCCAGCAGGAAUGUUGGCCUUCCUUCCACUUGUAGCCGGAAACUCACUACUCCAGGAAAUGCUUGACCCCUCCCCCCAUGCACCGUGGCUCCCGGGCCACAUUCCUGGGGCUCCAGGGGACUGCUGUCCCGGCCUGGGGUCAUCUCCCGCAGCCGAUGGUCCGGCUGGAAAUCAGCUGGUCCUCCCUCCUGCUUCUCCCAGGCUGGGAAAACGGAGUUGCAGUCAAGGACAGGGCUCCUGCAGAGUGUGCAGGAGCCCGACGCGGGCCACAGGGAGCCUUGGGAGAGCCAAGAGACGCACAGAGCUGCGCCCCCGGCCGGCUUCCAUCUGACUCCCACAAGGAGGUGUUGUGGGUCCAUUUCACAGGUGAGCAAGGACCACAGGGCCCAGGACGGCCACGCGAGGACUCUGCAAGGGGGAGCUGACAACAGGGCGGCGCUCUCUAACCUCCGCUCCUAAGAGCAAUCAUCUACGGCUGCCGGGAGAAGGCAGCGUUCACUGCGAGGGAUAGAAUAAUUACAGGGUAAUUAUGUCUUGCUUAGAAGAACCGCCUGGCCCAUCGAGCCCCUGAGCCUACUGGGGUGCGAGAGGCCGGAUUCCCAGGCCGAUUUCCUAGUGUGGGAGUUAAUGGAAUUUAUGAUAAUACUGAUGCUGUGAUCAAAUGGCUGGCGAGAGUAAAUCAAAGGUCCUUUGGGAUGUGACGUGUGCGGAGGAGAAGGGGCCCAGGGAAGAUUUAGAUUGCAUGCAUCAGAGAUCGAUUCCAGGCCUUCAUCAUUCAGCGAGUGUAUACCACUAAGGGCAGAGCGCCCCGGAGCAGGGAGGCGAAGGAAUGGCACAGUGCCUACCAAUAGACGGCCAUGAUUGGGGGCUUCAGCUGUCUGUCUAAAUAGGGACCGCCCCCUCCGCCCUGUUGGAAGUGCUAGGAGCCUGUGUGAGUGUUUUAUGGACGGUCAGGCCGGGGUGAUGGGCUCUUUGUUUUCUUUCCAGGGGCAGGCCUCGUUCCUGGAGCAGCUGUGGGCCGUUUUUGCAACAGAACCAUCCCCAAGCUGAGAGUUCUCUGCCCUCCUUCCCAGCUGCCCCUGGCCUCCGCAGACCCCGCGCUGCGCGGCGGCCGUGACCCUGCACGUCGCUGCUUUAGCUCUGUGGCCAUGGAGGACUCCUUCCCGGUAAUGAACCAGAGCUGUGACCGCAUGGUCACCUGGGCUCCCGGGGAUCCCCUUUCGUGAUAGAAUCCAGCUUCCCUGGCGCUGACUGAGCCGGAACGGUCACAGGAUGACCCGAGGAAGAGAGGAGGUUGAGGCUCAGGGCGCGGCGUGGGUGGAGCACAGGCGCAGGAGGAGGCUAUGAACGCACUCUGUCUUCAUGAGGUUCCCCAUCCACGGGACAGAAACAGUAACCGCGGCGGUACCGACCACGCAAGACUCC
rnacentral:lncRNA from 1 species